CAGUAGCCGCGGUAAUACAGAGGGUGCGAGCGUUAAUCGGAUUUACUGGGCGUAAAGCGUGCGUAGGCGGCUUUUUAAGUCGGAUGUGAAAUCCCUGAGCUUAACUUAGGAAUUGCAUUCGAUACUGGGAAGCUAGAGUAUGGGAGAGGAUGGUAGAAUUCCAGGUGUAGCGGUGAAAUGCGUAGAGAUCUGGAGGAAUACCGAUGGCGAAGGCAGCCAUCUGGCCUAAUACUGACGCUGAGGUACGAAAGCAUGGGGAGCAAACAGGAUUAGAUACCCCAGUAGUCCAUGUCUCUUAUAC
rnacentral:rRNA from 1 species